rnacentral:rRNA from 1 species
GAUGAACGCUGGCGGCGUGCCUAAUACAUGCAAGUCGAGCGAACGGACGAGAAGCUUGCUUAUCUGAUGUUAGCGGCGGACGGGUGAGUAACACGUGGAUAACCUACCUAUAAGACUGGGAUAACUUCGGGAAACCGGAGCUAAUACCGGAUAAUAUUUUGAACCGCAUGGGUCAAAAGUGAAAGACGGUCUUGCUGUCACUUAUAGAUGGAUCCGCGCUGCAUUAGCUAGUUGGUAAGGUAACGGCUUACCAAGGCAACGAUGCAUAGCCGACCUGAGAGGGUGAUCGGCCACACUGGAACUGAGACACGGUCCAGACUCCUACGGGAGGCAGCAGUAGGGAAUCUUCCGCAAUGGGCGAAAGCCUGACGGAGCAACGCCGCGUGAGUGAUGAAGGUCUUCGGAUCGUAAAACUCUGUUAUUAGGGAAGAACAUAUGUGUAAGUAACUGUGCACAUCUUGACGGUACCUAAUCAGAAAGCCACGGCUAACUACGUG